GCUUAACUUUCUUGAACGAAAUAGAAGAAGAGGGAAAAAAAAGCUUAAUUUUUGAAAAGGUAUGAAAAUAAGAAAAGGUGUAAGUGGCAGAAUUACCACGGAGGAGCUAAAAGCUAAAAGACAUUUUAAGACAAUAGAUGCAGAAAGUAGAGUGAGUUGAACAAUGGCUCAUGUGAGACCUCAUAGCUAAAAUUAGUGGAAAACAAACGUCUUCAGACAGCUACUUUGCAAAGGAAAAAGAAGAAGGCCCAAUGAUGAGACAGAAGAAGUGCCUAUGACUGCUGAGAAAAAAGAAGCUACAUGUAGGGAGACUGACAGUGUUGAAGUUGGCCUGGAGCUGUGGGGACGGCGAGUGGACAACUGCUGGAGACUGCAAAUGAUGGUGGCCCUGAAGUACGUUACCUUUGUGAGUUACGGAGUAGACUAGGUAUAAGGGAGACACUUUGGCUGGCAAUUAUUCAUUGUAUAAUUGUAUUUCUGUGUAAUACCCUCCCCCCGGUCAGUAAAAUAGUGUCUUACAUGAAACCGGUCUGGUGAAAAAAAGGUUUGGGACCACUGGUCUACAUGUGUGAGCCAUUUGGUGUAGAUGGGAAUAAGUAUGUCAAAGUUAUGUGGAAUGCCCUGUUUUUGUUUUUUUGAAAGGGCUAAACUGUCAACUCCCGAAUACCACUGGCAGAGUACCAGUAUCCAGAUUUCUUUACAAGAGAUAUACAUACGGUGUGCCUAGACUCCACCGCCACCGACAGUUCGCUACCGUCGACAACGUAGAAGUCAUGGAGAUGCACCAGGACUUACAGCUUCUCUGUUAUUUCUGCUUGGACAGCGCGGUGCUGCGAUACCAGCAGUGCUUCUGAAGUGUAGGCAGAAGUGUAUUCAGGAAGCUGGGCAACUGGUGCAGAAGUCCCAAGCAGCCGGCAGGGAGGUGGCGUGGCUUCGCAGCACUGUAACCCAAAAGCAGAAGUAUAUUCAAUUGAAGUAUACGGACAGUGAGUGUGGGGAAAAACACUUCAUUUAACAGUAUGGUUAUUGUGGCUAAUUGCAGAUGUGAUGCAGAAAUGCUCAGUGGUGGAAGGUGGUUAAGGAUGGUAAGUUUAAAUGUGGUAGUUUGGUAGUUUGUUACAUUCGAGGUGUGCCUUUAUAUGUGAGUGUAAUUUAAGUGUAGUAAUUGUUUUCGUGCCUGUGUUUAUGUUAUUUUUUGCAAGAGGAAAACGUGUGGAAGCUGCUGAAAAAUAAAAUGUUUUAGUUUUUGGUUGU